CUGAAUUCCCUGGGGCCCCUGAGCAUGCUCCAGCUCGGCUCUCAGGCCUGCACGUGCUGCAUUGACUCCCCAGUCUCAUCAUCAUUGCCCCAAAUUCCUUUCUCUCUCUCUGGCAGGUGACUCUCCAUCUGGGGCCCUCCAGAAGAUGGACUGAGCUCAGAUCUGAGCCUCUUCUUUCUAGCCCCAGCCCCCUAGAAUUGAAUCUCCAUUUAAAAGAAAAACUACACGUCCACAUGGCUGGCGGAGAAACUGGUUAUAGGACCCAUAACAGAGGGCGGUGGCACUGUGCAAACACCUUCUGACUCCAAGCAGGAGAGGUCACUGCUGCCCUGCACCCGGCAGGGUGGACACGUUGAGACCGCCCCAUACUGGACUUCCAGCCCCACCAGGCUUCUAUCUGCACAUGCAGCCUUCACAGUGCUGGGGCAGAGGAACGAAUGAGAGGCAAGACGGGCAUUCAGAGCCCCUCCAUAUCACCCCAACCCUAGCUGCCUGUUCUGUAGAUGGCGUGGCUCACAUGACUUCCCCUCACCUCACUGAGGCUGAAAAGACCGGCUUGAAGCCUCUGGUAAAAUGAGAAGCCUGAUUCUUUUAACCAAAGGCAGAUCCAGAAGUAAGAACUUGGUGGUCUGAUGAUGAACCCAAGUCCACCCCCAAAAUGGGGCUUGCACCUCAUAGGACCUCGGUACCAGAUUCUCUGGGCCCCAGGGCAGCUCUCUACCCUUGGAGACUGAGAAGUGGAUGAGUCAGCACAUUCCUUCUCUGCCUCGCCUCUCUGGCCUGGAAGCAGAAGCAACCAACACCCAUUCCAAACACACGGAUUACACCAUCCCACCUCCACCCAGCUCUGCCUCUUAGGGUGGCACCUGGCCUGCUCUUCUGCAGAGGCCCUUAUGCUCUCUGGGCUUAACCCUCUCACGGAAGCACAGAAACAGAUUCACCUGGCCCCGGAAACGCCUCCCACUCCGCAGUCAGGUCCAGGCAAAAUGCCCUAAGAGGGCAGAGGUAAACUUUUGCCUCCCUUACACGUGAGCUGCCAUCACUAGCUGGGCUCUGUCACACCCAGCAAUUCGUCCUGAGACGGAAGAGGCAUCUCCAAGACUAGGUCCAAGCAGGGCCAGAAGGCACAAGUCACCUGUACAAGCAGAUGGCCCAGACCUCAUGUCAUUUGCCCACUCUAGCCACAUACACAGCCACAAGGGUGGGGGAAAGGCUGCAUUUGGCUCAGCCCAGCUUAUGGGUGAGGGCCAAAAGUUGACCACAGCUUCAUUCAGGGCAGCAGAGCAAUAACCCCCCCUAAGGAAAGAGAAGUGGCCCUGACUUAGGAUCCGCACAGGCUUACAGACAGUAGGGAGUGACUGGGCUGGUUCCUCAAGGGACUGGAAGAGAAAAAUUGGAAGAUGGAGACCAAGGAGUUCUGGGGAAGAGGCGCGUGGAUGGGUCUACGGGCCUGGGCAUAGGGUUAUGUCACAUGGCAAAGUCCACCACAGAGCACCCACCACAAGAGAGGCACUACACAGCCUGCGGUCAGUGUGACCUUCCCAGCCUCUGUCACUGGCCACACAGGCAGGGCAGUCACAGUGGCAGGUGGCAGCUUGUGCACAGGCUCCUGCUCUCCAAGGCUGACCCAGCGCCAGUGUGCUACCUGACAGCCACAGAGGCCCACACUGGGGGGUUGAAACUUCAACGUCCCUCAAGCACCGGGCCAGACGCUCAGUGCUAGGUGACUCUCCUGAGAGGCAGCAGCCAUUCUCCUCAAGUGGAACUGACCCACACAUGGGCUUGGAUUUGCCUUUCCUGCCUGCAGACCUCAGGCAGUGCUUGCAGGAUAUGUGGUCUCUGGUACAGGAUGUCACCCAGCACUGUGACAGACCAAGGGACCCACUUUACAGCAAAGGCAAGGGACCACAGGGCCCCAAUGAUACCACACUCUCAGCCCCAGAGGCUGCGGCCUGCAGGGAGCAAUGGCCACUGCAGUGCCACUGAAGCAUCUGCUGGGGAUGGUUCCAGGGCGGGGGCGCCCUUCUAGAGACAUUGUCUCCCUGGCACCCCGAGGGGAAGGCAGCACGGACACUCAGGGGUGAGAGCCUGAGUGGCCCAACUUAACCAUGACUUCCAGGAACCCACCUGGACUAUUUCAGUGUCCCACCCGCAGCCCUGUGGCUUAGAGAUCCUGGUGUCCAGAGAAGGAGGCACUUCCACCAGUGACACUGAGAGUCCAUCAGACUCUGAGCUCUGGCUACUGGGGCUCCUGCUGCUGAGGGACCCACAGGAAAGCUGAGAUGUCACCAUCCCGCCUAAUUGACCCUGGUCAUUGGGGAAAGUAGAGUGUUCUACACAGUGGCUGGCAAGAAUACAUUUGGUGCCCAGGUGGUCCCCAGGGUACAUCUUGGUUCUUCUGCACCCAGUUUUGACAAGAAGGGGGUGGUAAGCUGGGGCUCAGGCCUCUCCAGGGUGAGGGUCUCAGUCAUCCCACCGGCUAAAUCACCUGGACUGGCAGAGGUGCAAGGGCAGGUGAGGGAACACUGGGGCAGGAAGGACACUGAGCAUUGUUACACCCUCAAGAUGAGCUGCAGGGAGGAGGGAGCUGAACUUUACCCUCUACCUUCUGUAACAUUCAUAAGGAACAGAAGCCCCAAAGAAUCUGAAGAAUCUGCUUCCAGAACUUAUCACACGAAGCUAGCAAAUCAGAGUGGUACAGGCCCAACUAUCCUUGACUUCCAGGACUAGAGCCCAUGGCUCCCCCUGAGAUCUGGCCUCAGCUGCAGAGCCAUCUCACCCAAGGUCACACUCUCCUCAUAAGGACAGCUUGCAUUCCAAGACUGGUCAUUGUAGGGUGAAGAGGCCCAACACCCUCACCCCCAGGCAGGUCAACAGAACUAGGAAGAGCCCACAGCUCUCCCUCGGAAGAACUGCAGGCUUUGUCACCCUGAACUCCAUUCAGGUCCUGGCCCUGGCCAGGUUUGUUCUCUACACUCCCUAGAGGUGCUGAUCCCAAGCUACCCCCAGCAAACCUCUCUCUCAAAGCUCUGCUGAAUCUGCUCUCCAGGAACAAACCUGAGACGAGGGAGGCUCAGCUGACCAGCCUUCAUUUCAGCUUUCAGCUUUGGAAUAUGAUUCUCUCCAUGCUCAGGGCAGCAAGAAAUGAGAUUUUACUUUCCUACAAGUCAACCCAUUCUGCUGAGGUGGUAGACCCUUGCCUUGGAGUGGAGUCCACAUUUGGGGGCUCGCUCAAACUGGACUACGGCCCCUCAAGAAGCCCCCAGAAGUUCCAUCCUCAGCACACAGGCCCUCUCAGUUCCAAGUUCUGGGCUCCCAAGGAAACCCUGCACUCCACAGGCCUUUCCUCCCAAACCCUCUUGCUCAGUCAAAAGUCGUGAAUGGGAGGGUGGGGCAAAUGUGGUUCAGGGAAUUUGUUUGUACCCUGAAGUUUUAAAUUAGUUAUCAACAUUUAAAAAUUACAUUUAAUAAACUCCACAGU